UUUAUGGCAAAUGUGAGAUGCAGUGUAUGGAAUGUCAAAUUUCUAGUAUGAGAAAUUAACGAUUUAAGUCCUUCUUAAAUGAGGCCAUUUACCCAUAGAGGGUGCCAGGCCCGUAUAACGUUAAUGAUUACUAGAUGGCAUUUCCAAAGAGUCGUGUUGCUUGAUAGUGCAGCACUAAGUGGGUGGUAAACUCCAUCUAAAACUAAAUAUAACCAUGAGACCGAUAGUAAACAAGUACCGUGAGGGAAAGUUGAAAAGAACUCUGAAUAGAGAGUUAAAUAGUACGUGAAACUGCUUAGAGGUUAAGCCCGAUGAACCUGAAUAUCCAUUAUAGAAAAUUCAUCAUUAUGAUUUUAAUAUUAAUAAUAUUAUAAUAAUAGUGUGCAUUUUUUCUAUAACGGACAUUGUAAUCUAUUAACAUAAAUAUAUUUAUCAUAAGAUCAAUGAUGCGUAAGUUUAUUUAAAUUAUUUUGCUUGCAAUUUAACAUAGAAUAAAUGCUCUUGAUUUGAUAAAGUGUUGAUAGAUUUAUUGUAUAUAGUGCUUAAAUAUUUAUAUUUUAUAAUAGCAUAUUAAUCAUUGAUUUUUAUGUUUAUUAUAUGCACUUAUAUGAUUAACAAUGCGAAAGAUUCAGGAUACCUUCGGGACCCGUCUUGAAACACGGACCAAGGAGUCUAACAUAUUUGCAAGUUAUUGGGUAUCAAAACCUAAUAGCGAAAUUAACAUAACUUUAAUGGGAUUAGUUUUUAGAUUAUUUAUAGUCUAUUAAUUCAAUCCCGGGGCGUUCUAUAUAGUUAUGUAUAAUAAUAUUUAUAUUAUUUAUACCUCUAACUAGAGCGUACCUUGAGCAUAUAUGCUGUGACCCGAAAGAUGGUGAACUAUACUUGAUCAGGUUGAAGUCAGGGGAAACCCUGAUGGAAGACCGAAACAGUUCUGACGUGCAAAUCGAUUGUCA
rnacentral:rRNA from 1 species